rnacentral:rRNA from 1 species
AUUGAACGCUGGCGGCAUGCCUUACACAUGCAAGUCGAACGGUAACGGGCCUUCGGGUGCCGACGAGUGGCGAACGGGUGAGUAAUGUAUCGGAACGUACCUUUCAGUGGGGGAUAACGUAGCGGAAGUUACGCUAAUACCGCAUAUUCUGUGCGCAGGAAAGCAGGGGAUCGCAAGACCUUGCGCUGAUUGAGCGGCGGAUAUCAGAUUAGCUAGUUGGUGAGGUAAAGGCUCACCAAGGCGACGAUCUGUAGCGGGUCUGAGAGGAUGAUCCGCCACACUGGAACUGAGACACGGUCCAGACUCCUACGGGAGGCAGCAGUGGGGAAUUUUGGACAAUGGGGGCAACCCUGAUCCAGCCAUGCCGCGUGAGUGAAGAAGGCCUUCGGGUUGUAAAGCUCUUUCGGCCGGGAAGAAAUCGUAUCAGCUAAUACCUGGUGCGGAUGACGGUACCGGCAUAAGAAGCACCGGCUAACUACGUGCCAGCAGCCGCCGUAAAAC